AGUCAUAUGCUUGUCUCAAAGAUUAAGCCAUGCAUGUCUCAGUACAAGCCAAAUUAAGGUGAAACCGCGAAAGGCUCAUUAAAUCAGUUAUGGUUCCUUAGAUCGUACCCACACUUACUUGGAUAACUGUGGUAAUUCUAGAGCUAAUACAUGCAAAUAGAGCCCCGACCGGAGACGGAAGGGGCGCUUUUAUUAGAUCAAAACCAAUCGGUGGCGGUUCGCCGUCACCGUACUCCUUGGUGACUCUGAAUAACUUGUUGCUGAUCGCACGGUCUCGAACCGGCGACGCAUCUUUCAAAUGUCUGCCUUAUCAACUGUCGAUGGUAGGUUCUGCGCCUACCAUGGUUGUAACGGGUAACGGGGAAUCAGGGUUCGAUUCCGGAGAGGGAGCCUGAGAAACGGCUACCACAUCCAAGGAAGGCAGCAGGCGCGCAAAUUACCCACUCCCGGCACGGGGAGGUAGUGACGAAAAAUAACGAUACGGGACUCAUCCGAGGCCCCGUAAUCGGAAUGAGUACACUCUAAACCCUUUAACGAGGAUCAAUUGGAGGGCCAGUCUGGUGCCAGCAGCC
rnacentral:rRNA from 1 species